AUCCAGCUGAUGAGCCCCACAUAGAACGAAACGUGCGUCCUGAGU
rfam:Schistosoma mansoni strain Puerto Rico chromosome 4, complete genome